UACGGAGGGUGCAAGCGUUAUCCGGAAUCACUGGGCUUAAAGCGUGUGUAGGCGGAUCGUUAAGUACCUUGUGAAAUCCCACGGCUCAACCGUGGAACUGCUGGGUAUACUGGCGAUCUUGAGCCACCUAGGGGCGAGCGGAACAAACGGUGGAGCGGUGAAAUGCGUAGAUAUCGUUUGGAACGCCGACGGUGAAAACAGAUGACUGGGGCUGUGCCGACGCUGAGACACGAAAGCCAGGGGAGCAAACGGG
rnacentral:rRNA from 1 species